rnacentral:rRNA from 1 species
CCCCUAGUAACUGCGAGGAAGCGGGAAAAGCUCAAAUUUAAAAUCUGGCAGUGGUUCACUGCCCGAGUUGUAAUCUAGAGAAGUGUUGCUCGCACUGGACCAUGUAUAAGUCUUCUGGAAUGAAGCGUCAUAGAGGGUGAGAAUCCCGUCUUUGACAUGGACUCCCAGUGUAUUUGUAGCAUGCUCUCAAAGAGUCGAGUUGUUUGGGAAUGCAGCUCUAAAUGGGUGGUAACCUCCAUCUAAAGCUAAAUAUUGGCGAGAGACCGAUAGUGAACAAGUACCGUGAGGGAAAGAUGAAAAGAACUUUGGAAAGAGAGUUAAAAAGUACGUGAAAUUGUUGAAAGGGAAACGCUUGAAGUCAGUCACAUUGGCCAGGGAUCAACUUGCUUAAGUGUACUUCCUGGUUGAUGGGCCAACAUCAGCCUUGACUGUCAGAGAAGGGUAGGGGGAAUGUGGCACCCUCUUGGGUGUGUAUAGCCCUCUGUCAUAUAUGGCCGUUGGGGCUGAGGAAUGCAGCGCGCCGCAAGGCCGGGCUUCGACCACGUUCGCGCUUAGGAUGUUGGCAUAAUGGCUUUAAUCGACCCGUCUUGAAACACGGACCAAGGAGUCUAACAUGCCUGCGAGUGUUUGGGUGGAAAACCCGAGUGCAUAAUGAAAGUGAAAGUUGAGAUCCCUGUCAUG